CCCGGCGCUUUCCACGGUGGGCGGGGACGAGGUCGGCGCCCGGGAGGUCAGCGGGGCGCCCUAGCGGGCUAGCGACCCGGAUGCAUCCCGCUGACGUUUGCGCCCGUUCUAGGGCGCCAUCUGGCAGCGGCUUUUAUAUAUCGGUAGUUUCUUCCUUCCGGAGCGCGGGGCGAAAUCAUCAGGGAAAGGAUUUGACUGCGGUGCCCGAGGCGGAGUCCCAGGAGGCAGUCAGCGUUCGACCCCGCUGCGCCAGGGUAUUGGCGCCCCAUCAAUUCGCCCGAGACCGGGUCUGCAUGAACAGAGGAUAUUAGGUGUGCGCUGCGCUCCGGGGCCUGGGAGUGGGUGGCCCAGGCGGGUCCAACAAAACGCGCCGGUGUCCCUUGGCUCGCAGGGACCAGUCGAGGCCGCCGCGGGGAACCGGAGAGGGUGUUCCGGGUUUGAAGCGGACUGGCCUUGGAUGUAUGGCGAAGGCACCACUUGCUCGCCCGCAGUUCUGGUUUGAAGUUCGCGGGAACUUCAAAAUUGUCACAAGUCAUCCAUCAGGAGCUGGGGACCUGCCCAGGAUGGCCAAGGCGAGGAGAGCGGAGGGCGUCCUCAGGGCUCCAAGUCUUUCUUCCGAUGGGGACCGUGACUAUCCGCGCCCACCAAGCGCCGGAGGUGCGUCCUUGACGGCUCGGGAACCCAGAUCCACCUCUGUGCCAUAUUCGUAGGUAAUGCUGGUUACCUGGCAAAGUUUUAGUUUCCUUGGAGCUCCCUGCGAAAUGGUCGUAGGAGCGGAUCUAGCCGCGGUAACCCUAGGCAGAGUUUGGAAAGCGCACAGCGAGAGCGGACGGUCCUGGUGGUGACACCUCACCGGGGACCGGCACCAGGUGGGGGAGCAACCACCGUGCCGCUUUUCUGGUCGCCUCGUUGGGUGGCGCCUGAAGUUCAAACAACACACGAAGGUCCCCUCCACCGCGGUGACCGACGCUAAAGGUUCAGCUGCUGUCCCGCAUGGAGCCUGGUGGUCGUAGGAGCCUAACAAAAUUUUCCGUCUCUUGGAAUCAUGGACCCGCACGGCCGUCCUAAGAGCAGGAGGAAACCAAGCACCAUAGCCAGAUUUGAAGCCACAUGAUGGUGAUGACAAAUCCAAAACCCGAAGGUACCUGAGUUCCUGAAUUAUUUUUGGAGGCUUUUAGCUGCCUGAAUCUACAGUUUCUAGUUUCUGUCUCUGACUAAUAACUCCUGUGUGGAUCUUCUAGGCGCCCCUGACACUGGUUGCCUUGGUCACUGGGAUGCCCUUAUGUUGACUCUCUGAAUGGCUGGAGACAGAGUAGCCUCCCACUACAGUAUGGAAAA